GGCCCUGUAGCUCAGCUGGAUAGAGCAACGGCCUUCUAAGCCGUGUGUCGGGCGUUCGAGUCGCUCCAGGGUCACCA
rnacentral:tRNA from 1 species